UGAGAAGUGACAUACUGAACUGCAGGAAUUUAAAGUGAGCAACCUGAUGGGCUUCAGUGUAUGUAUCCACCCAGGAAACUAUACCCACAUUCAAGACAGGGAGCACGUUACCCCUCAAAAUUUCCUUGUGGCCUUUGUCCCUCUCACUGACACCCCCCACCCACCCUCACCCCGCUUUUCUGACACUUCGAUUAGUGGGAGAGGUGGAUUUGAUCAAGUUACCUAAUCUCUCUGAGUCUCUGUUUUCUCAGGAGUAAUAAGAAAGAGUCGGGCUCAAUGAACUCAGAAUUACUCUCCAGUCUUGAAGUCUCGAGACUCUAACAUGUGAAGGAAAAUACACAGCUCAAUCAGCCUGAAGGCUGACAGGGUGGGAUUAAGCGCUCCCUACAAAUCGAGGCCCUGCUGCCCUUAGACCAGCCAGCCCAAGGUUCCACGUGGCUGAAGAGUGGAUGCCAUCAUGGACAUGCCCCAACCAUUCCUGACACUUGGGAUGGGGGGUGGGGCAAGAGGGAGCCCCACUUCUGACGCUCAGAUGCCACCCCUGCCUGUGGGGUCGCUCAGGCUCCACAGGCCUGGGCCCCAGCCGCCACCUCUGUCCUCGGAGAAGAGCCCAGAGGGCCAUGGAAAGCAAGGGUCUUCCUUAGAGCUUUCCAGAGCAAGGGAUUUUCCAAGUUUCUGCGCCUUCUGCUCUCUCUUGGAUUCCCCAGGAAUGGCAGUGUCUGGAAGCAUACAGGAAGACGGCUGAUACGGGAGAUGCCCGCAGGAAGAGCCCACAUGCUGUGGAGCAACUGAGCCCAUGCUCCACAAUUAUUGAUUGAGCCCGCGCUCCUCAAGAGAAGUCACAGCAGCGAGAAGCCUGCACCCUGCAACCGGAAAGCAUCCCCGGUUCUCUGCAACUAGAGACAAGCCUGCACAGCAACGAAGACCCAGCACAGCCAAAAACAAAUACAAAUAAAUAAAACUAAUUUU